CCUACGGGGGGCUGCAGUGGGGAAUAUUGGACAAUGGGCGAAAGCCUGAUCCAGCCAUGCCGCGUGUGUGAAGAAGGCCUUCGGGUUGUAAAGCACUUUCAGUGGGGAAGAAAGCCUUGGGGCUAAUACCCUCGAGGAAGGACAUCACCCACAGAAGAAACACCGGCUAACUCCGUGCCAGCAGCCGCGGUAAUACGGAGGGUGCGAGCGUUAAUCGGAAUUACUGGGCGUAAAGCGCGCGUAGGCGGUCUGAUAAGCCGGUUGUGAAAGCCCCGGGCUCAACCUGGGAACGGCAUCCGGAACUGUCAGGCUAGAGUGCAGGAGAGGAAGGUAGAAUUCCCGGUGUAGCGGUGAAAUGCGUAGAGAUCGGGAGGAAUACCAGUGGCGAAGGCGGCCUUCUGGACUGACACUGACGCUGAGGUGCGAAAGCGUGGGUAGCAAACAGGAUUAGAUACCCUGGUAGUC
rnacentral:rRNA from 1 species